GUUUGGCACCUCGAUGUCGGAUCGUCGCAUCCUGGGGCUGUAGUAGGUCCCAAGGGUUGGGCUGUUCGCCCAUUAAAGCGGUACGCGAUCUGGGUUCAGAACGUCGUGAGACAGUUCGGUCCCUAUCCGCUGUGGGCGUAGGAAGUUUGAGGGGCGUGGACUCUAGUACGAGAGGACCGAGUCGAACGAACCGCUGGUGAACCGGUUGUCCCGCCAGGGGCAUAGCCGGGUAGCUAUGUUCGGAUCAGAUAAGUGCUGAAAGCAUAUAAGCACGAAACUGACCCCGAGAUGAGACUUCAAACUCGUAAGAGUGAAGAGUCGUGGUAGCCCACCACGUUGAUAGGCCGGGGGUGGAAGCGCUGCAAAGCGUGGAGCUGACCGGUACUAAUAGCUCGGAAAUUUUAACUAC
rnacentral:rRNA from 1 species